rnacentral:rRNA from 1 species
CUACGGGCGGCUCCAGUGGGGAAUAUUGCACAAUGGAGGAAACUCUGAUGCAGCAACGCCGCGUGGAGGAUGACACUUUUCGGAGCGUAAACUCCUUUUAUAUAGGAAGAAGAUGACGGUACUAUAUGAAUAAGCGCCGGCUAACUCCGUGCCAGCAGCCGCGGUAAUACGGAGGGCGCAAGCGUUACUCGGAAUCACUGGGCGUAAAGAGCGUGUAGGCGGAUUAAAAAGUCAGAAGUGAAAUCCUAUAGCUUAACUAUAGAACUGCUUCUGAAACUCUUAAUCUAGAAUAUGGGAGAGGUAGAUGGAAUUUCUGGUGUAGGGGUAAAAUCCGUAGAGAUCAGAAGGAAUACCGAUUGCGAAGGCGAUCUACUAGAACAUUAUUGACGCUGAGACGCGAAAGCGUGGGGAGCAAACAGGAUUAGAUACCCCGGUAGUC